UACGUAGGUCCCGAGCGUUGUCCGGAUUUAUUGGGCGUAAAGCGAGCGCAGGUGGUUUAUUAAGUCUGGUGUAAAAGGCAGUGGCUCAACCAUUGUAUGCAUUGGAAACUGGUAGACUUGAGUGCAGGAGAGGAGAGUGGAAUUCCAUGUGUAGCGGUGAAAUGCAUAGAUAUCACGCAGAACCCCGAUUGCGAAGGCAGCAUGCCGGCUUCCUACUGACGCUGAAGCACGAAAGCGUGGGGUUCGAACAGG
rnacentral:rRNA from 1 species